rnacentral:lncRNA from 1 species
AUGGCUAAUAUAAAAAGUGUUCCAGGAGUAAGGCAUAACACGUUUCGCAUAAAUGCCCAUAAGAAAAUCAUUUACAAUCGCAUGAGAAGGUUCAACUGGCCACCUGAAGAUUGUUCAACAAUACACCCAAUAGAGCCGCAUGGUAAGCAAUUUUUUGUUUUUAAUGGUUAUAAAAGGGAUCCCCGAUAUGAUAAUGAAAUUUCAAACGUAGUUAAGCCAUUGUUAAAUGAUAACAAUGAAAAAAUACCUUCCGAAACGAUGUUGUGCGUUUGCGAUUUUGCUAAACGACCGUUAAUGUUUUUAAAUUAUUUAGAUUUCAAAAUAUUGCAGAGCAGCAUGGAUAAAAUAAAAGAAGGAUUUAGCAUUAUUAAGGAAAGGCUAGACAAGAGUAAUUACUUAGAUAAUAAGUAUAGUUUAAUGUUAAAAUAUAAUUUAAAUAAAACUUAUGGUAUGCAAAGAGUUAAAAAGGGAGAGCAUAACUCUUGGGGCAUGAAAAAGGGCGUUUUCAGAAGUAGGAAAACAUAAUUUUUUUUUUUUUUUUAAGUUAAUCAAUAGUUUUUUUCAAUAUUAUAAUUUUAAUAAAUACAAAAACAUCAAAAGCA